AUUCUCUCACCAAAUUCGUCCACUACCUCUCUAUAUCUCUUUCUCUCUCUCUUUCUCUCUCUCUCUCUCUCUUUCUCUCUCUCUUUCCAAAAGGAAUUUACAACCUCUCUCCCAAGAGUUGAUUUUUGAAUAAACCCUAGUUUUGGGUUUCUUCCUUUUACUUUUGGUGUUGUGGGUCUGAUUCCAUUAGAUGAGUGCUACGUUGGAUCAUCAUCAUUGUAACGAGUUGACAGACACAAGAUCAUAAACAAGCAAUUAUGAGUUAUAAUCAUGUUCAGCGGGAUCCCAAAAAGAAGCUAUGCAACUAACCAUCUAAAGUCUAAACCCAACGGUCUAUGUCGUAUAAAUUAUAAUGGAGUUUGCAAGAUGGUGCAAGGUUAUGUUCAUUCUACUUCAAAUUGUAUAACUAGACUUUUAAAAAGAUUGAUUAAAUGUAAUUUCUAGGAUAAUGUAAUGGAGUGCAUGUUGGUGUUUAAUUUUAUAGGUCUUCAUGUUGUGUUGGAUUUUCACAAUCGCUUGCAUGAAAAUGGUUCUAUAGA